AUACAUACCUGGUAGGGGGGUAUACCAUGAUCACAAAUGUGGUUUUCCAAGGGCGAGGCUUACCCAUUACACUCCAGAUAUGCUGACCUCGGCAAUUUCCCCAAAUGUGGGAAACUUGACUGCAUAAUUUGUGGUAGUGAGGGACCACAUUCAUUCUCUCC